UACGAGGGGGGCAAGCGUUGCUCGGAAUCACUGGGCGUAAAGCGCACGUAGGCGGAUCCUUAAGUCGGGGGUGAAAUCCUGGAGCUCAACUCCAGAACUGCCUUCGAUACUGAGGAUCUCGAGUCCGGGAGAGGUGAGUGGAACUGCGAGUGUAGAGGUGAAAUUCGUAGAUAAUUCGCAAGAACACCAGUGGCGAAGGCGGCUCACUGGCCCGGUACUGACGCUGAGGUGACGAAAGGCGUGGGGAGCAAACAGG
rnacentral:rRNA from 1 species